UGUCCGUAGGUGAACCUGCGGAAGGAUCACUAGAGAAUUGUAGGACGACUGCUUGUAUAGCCUGACCUCCACUUUCUAACCCUGUGCACUUAUUUGGCGGAAAACGGGAGUAGUGCUUGUUUAACGACGAUUGCGAAUGCCUUAGUUUGCGGCUUACUCUAUUCACUAUUCAAUGUCUGUAACGACAUAUCGAAAUACAAAAAAACUUUCAACAACGGAUCUCUUGGCUCUC
rnacentral:misc_RNA from 1 species